GCCGGCGAGCGGCGGACGGGUGAGUAAAGUCUGGGAAACUGCCUGAUGAGGGGAUAACCACUGGAAACGGUGGCUAAUACCGCAUAAUCUCGCGAGAGCAAGGUGGGGGACCUUCGGGCCUCAUGCCAUCGGAUGAACCCAUACGGGAUUAGCUGGAAGGUGAGGUAAUGGCUCACCUUGGCGACGAUCCCUAGCUGGUCUGAGAGGAUGACCAGCCACACUGGGACUGAGACACGGCCCAG
rnacentral:rRNA from 1 species